rnacentral:sRNA from 1 species
UUGAAGAGAAAAAAAA